AAACACCCAAAACAUCUCUCAUUCUGACGCCUGAUAUUCAGGGUAUCAGACUGACUUUUUGCACUGAUAUAUUGUUUUCUUAUUUUAAAUAAAUAUCUACCAACUAAUAGAUAAAUAAACCCCCCAAAACAGUCAAUAACCAUUACUAAUUUCAGGAACUAACCAAAUCUGUAAGACUUGAAUUCAGUAAAAUUACUUAUAGGCCAAAUGUAGACAUAGCAUAACACAUUACAAUCGGUUUUAUCACCCACACUGCAUAUUCUGACCAUGGGGUAAUACUCAUUGACAUGGGUUUGCUCAAAUAAUGAGCUGAUAGUGCAGUGUUGAGGAAGACUUGUAGUUAUAGUUUCAUAAUGGCACUCUCCAUUGUUGCUCUUUGCUGUUUCCUCUGAUAGCUGAACUACACAUUUUUAUAUCAGCUACACAUUUCCUAAAUUGUUCAUGCAAAGGAAAUAUGCAUUUGCUCUCUUGACCAUAAUAUGUUUCAGUUACAUUAUUUAUAUCAAGAGUUUCUAACUUUCAAAUAUAGCUUUUUGUACUCCUGCUUUGAACCCUGCCCCUUUGGGUGUUUAUGUGCAGUGUAUCUCCUCCACUGGUCUAUCAGAGUGAAAAUAUCAGUGUAUAGUGAUGAAAUGUAUAUGUUGCACCAUUUUCAUGCUAAUAAUAAUAAUUAUCUCCAUAUGAGUACAAAGAUUGUAGCCUACCACCUUAUUACCUACAAGUAAAGGCUGUCUGGGUCAAACCUUGUUUGUUUUUAGUAACCUGAUACAUUUUGUGGCUGAUUAUGACAAGAAUUUCUAAUUACCAGAAAACACAUUUACUGAUGCUGAGAGAUCCUAAAAGAUAAAAACUUUUCUUUCAUUUGGCCCAGGACUAUAACCAUGUCUGUCCACAUGCCACUGCCACUCAGCCAGCAUAAUUAUGAGCAAUACAUCCUCCCACUCACAGGUUACUCAACUGACAACCAUAAAUGUUGGUUACGUUGUAUUUUUCUGCACUUGGUCCAAACUUGAUAUAGUUUCAAAUGCUAGAGAUUUUCCACUUCACUGGUGCACUUGAAUCUGUUAAUUCAAUAUUGUGCAUGAAUACAGUCAGAAUUCCCUUUUUGAGCUUUCAUAAUUCCAUUGCAGCUACUCUUAUCUUUGUAUGUUUAAUGCAGGGACAUUUCCUCAUUUCAAAGUCUAAAUCCUGUACAUUGUGUAACAUAGGAAAGAGGGUAAAUACCAGUGGACAGGAUAAGAUUAACUGAAAAAUCAAGGAUGGAUCUCACUAAACACAUUGAGACAUGUUAUAACUUAUUGGUUGGUCAAUAGACCAACUGUUUCUAUGCAGGGAUAUGUUAUUAGUCUUUUAUGGUUUUUUAAGUUCACUUAGCAGUCAAAUUGCAUAAAAGGGUAAUUUUGUUCAAAGCGGGGGUUUCUUAAACAAACUAUUUCUCUUUUUUAAAAAUGGAGGUGAAGUUUAACAUUUCUUUCAGUACAAACAGUAAGAAUUAAAGCCUCUUCCUGUUGUAAGUUACCUUUACAAAGCCAUAAUAACAGUUUCAGAAAUGCCUCUUUGAUGCAUCUAUUCAGGUAGUGUGCUAUUCAUCAUUGGUCCAUCAUCGGCUAAUAGUUUGCAUUGUCGACUAAUACCAACAUCUCUGAGCAGCACUGGGCAGACAGUAUUGAUAUAAAUCAUAGAAUCGAUGAUUAUUAUUAUGAAUAGUAAAUUAAAAAUAAACCUGAAAGAAAUCAACAUUUUGUAUUACUGGUGAGUUUUACCUUUAUGCAUGGAUGACUAACAAAAUCCUGAACAUGACUUAGAAGCAACCCAUGAAUAAAGACAUAACUUUGUAUAUUGUGUGAGUAAAUUGAAACUAUGAUAUUAUGGGUAUUCUUAAAUUCCAAUCAAAUUGACUUGAUGGCACAAGUUUUUUCCUUUGGUCACCCUUCAUCUCAAGAUCAAAGCUGACAUAGACUGUAAAAAGUCAGGAAAGAUCUAGCCUGUCUCAUAGUUCCUGAACUGCAUUAUUUUUACUUCCGUCUAUGCCUUUCUGCAAUGAUAAAGACCUAAUUUAAGCAAGUCUAGAUUUACUUAGUUUCAGGAAUCUCCCAUCUCACUGGAGCUCCUUUUCAGUUUAAAAGGAUUUGUUUGAUUCUAUCAAAAUUAUAUAUAUUCAGAGACUAAUUGCUAGUCUUGGAUGGUCCUGUUAGACAUGGAAAUCCUAUCCAAUCCAGUUUAUGCCCGACAACUAUGAACGGGACCAAGACACGUUGAGCUUGGCAGAGGAGAAAUGUGACCUUCAAAUUGCAGAAUCCGAGGGGGAGUCUCAGGCAUUCCAAAGGGAGGAAGGGGAUUCAGAUGUAGUAUCUGUGAGAAAGUACUGAAAUGUAAAGGUGGAUAUACUGUUCAUCAGCAGAUGACUUGAAGUCAAAAGAAACGGAGACCAUUCAGUCAUUUCUACAGAUUUCCAAGCACGAAUGCUCUUAUGUUCAGCUGAGAACAAAAAUGAUGAACAAGCAGAAAAUACAGCAGCAAAGGACAAGGAAGAGAUGGCACACAUUUUAAGAAUGAAAUUAACUUAAUAAAUAUUCAGAUCAUUUCUAAGGGAUGUUACAUUUGGGAAUUCACUUUCCCAGUAUAGUACAGAUACUAGUACUUUGCUGGUAGAGGGUGGAGUGAAUCCCUUGUGUGAUUUGAACCCACCCUCUAAGAGUGAAACACCUUAUCACAGAACAACAUUGUCAUCAAUUUAACCUGACAAAUGUUAGUCAAGGUCUCGAUCAGAGAAGUGUAAAUGCCACAAUUACAAUUUUUUGCAAAGUUAUGCAAAUAAGAAUGUCAAAACUAUUUGGUUUAAUAAAUAGUAAUUAUUAAACUUA
rnacentral:lncRNA from 1 species